AGGACGAACGCUGGCGGCGUGCUUAACACAUGCAAGUCGAACGGAAAGGCCCGCUUGCGGGUACUCGAGUGGCGAACGGGUGAGUAACACGUGGGCAACCUGCCCUCAGCUUCGGGAUAACACUUGGAAACAGGUGCUAAUACCGGAUAAUAACCUUUCAUCGCAUGGUGGUUGGUUCAAAGUUUUUCGGCUGAGGAUGGGCCCGCGGCCUAUCAGCUUGUUGGUGGGGUAAUGGCCUACCAAGGCGACGACGGGUAGCCGG
rnacentral:rRNA from 1 species